UACGUAGGGUGCAAGCGUUGUCCGGAAUUAUUGGGCGUAAAGAGCUCGUAGGCGGCUUGUUACGUCGGCUGUGAAAACCUGGGGCUCAACCCCGGGCCUGCAGCCGAUACGGGCAAGCUAGAAUUCGGUAGGGGAGACUGGAAUUCCUGGUGUAGCGGUGGAAUGCGCAGAUAUCAGGAGGAACACCGGUGGCGAAGGCGGGUCUCUGGGCCGAGAUUGACGCUGAGGAGCGAAAGCGUGGGGAGCGAACAGG
rnacentral:rRNA from 1 species